rnacentral:rRNA from 1 species
GGGGGAAUUUUCCGCAAUGGGCGAAAGCCUGACGGAGCAAGACCGCGUGAGGGAGGAAGGCUCUUGGGUCGUAAACCUCUUUUCUAUGGGAAUAAGCAAGUGAAGGUACCAUAGGAAUCAGCAUCGGCUAACUCCGUGCCAGCAGCCGCGGUAAUACGGAGGAUGCAAGCGUUAUCCGGAAUGAUUGGGCGUAAAGCGUCCGUAGGUGGUUAGGCAAGUCUGCUGUCAAAGCUCGGGGCUUAACUCCGAAUCGGCGGUGGAAACUGCCUGACUUGAGUGCGGUAGGGGUAGAGGGAAUUCCCGGUGUAGCGGUGAAAUGCGUAGAGAUCGGGAAGAACACCAGCGGCGAAGGCGCUCUACUGGG